rnacentral:rRNA from 1 species
UACGUAGGGGGCAAGCGUUGUCCGGAAUCAUUGGGCGUAAAGCGCGUGUAGGCGGUUCGAUACGUCUGCUGUGAAAGUCCAGGGCUCAACCCUGGGAUGCCGGUGGAUACUGUCGGGCUAGAGUACGGAAGAGGCGAGUGGAAUUCCCGGUGUAGCGGUGAAAUGCGCAGAUAUCGGGAGGAACACCAAUUGCGAAGGCAGCUCGCUGGGACGUCACUGACGCUGAGACGCGAAAGCGUGGGGAGCAAACAGG